AAAGAAAGGGGUUUGCUGUAGAA
rnacentral:piRNA from 1 species